rnacentral:rRNA from 1 species
ACUCUGGAUGAGGCGAGAGGNACCCGCUGANUUUAAGCAUAUUAUUAAGCGGAAG